rnacentral:rRNA from 1 species
UACGUAGGGUGCGAGCGUUGUCCGGAAUUAUUGGGCGUAAAGGGCUCGUAGGCGGUCUGUCACGUCGGGAGUGAAAACACGGGGCUUAACCCCGUGCCUGCUUCCGAUACGGGCAGACUAGAGGUAUGCAGGGGAGAACGGAAUUCCUGGUGUAGCGGUGAAAUGCGCAGAUAUCAGGAGGGACACCGGUGGCGAAGGCGGGUCUCUGGGCCGUUACUGACGCUGAGGAGCGAAAGCGUGGGGAGCGAACAGG